AUACGUAGGGUGCAAACGUUAUCCGGAUUUAUUGGGCGUAAAGAACUCGUAGGUGGUUUUGUAAGUUGAAUAUUAAAUACUUUGGCUCAACCAAAGAAAUGUAUUUAAAACUGCAAGGCUAGAGGUAUGUAGGGGAGGAUGGAACUUACAGUGUAGCAGUGAAAUGCGUAGAUAUUGUAAGGAACGCCAAUGGUGAAGACAGUCCUCUGGGCAUUACCUGACACUGAGGAGCGAAAGCGUGGGGAGCGAACGGGAUUAGAUACCCCGGUAGUCCACGCCGUAAACGAUGCAUACUAGGAAUUUGGAGAAUCGACCCUCUGAGUUUCGAAGCUAACGCGUUAAGUAUGCCGCCUGGGUAGUACGACCGCAAGGUUAAA
rnacentral:rRNA from 1 species